rnacentral:rRNA from 1 species
UGCCAGCCGCCGCGGUAAUACGGAGGGUGCAAGCGUUGUCCGGAUUUAUUGGGUUUAAAGGGUACGUAGGCGGCCGAUUAAGUCAGUGGUGAAAUACUGCAGCUCAACUGUAGAGGUGCCAUUGAUACUGGUUGGCUUGAGUACUGUUAAGGUAGGCGGAAUUGAUGGUGUAGCGGUGAAAUGCAUAGAUACCAUCAGGAACACCGAUUGCGAAGGCAGCUUACUGGGCAGUUACUGACGCUAAUGUACGAAAGCGUGGGGAGCGAACAGGAUUAGAUA